rnacentral:rRNA from 1 species
CCUACGGGAGGCAGCAGUGAGGAAUAUUGGUCAAUGGUCGGGAGACUGAACCAGCCAAGCCGCGUGAGGGAUGAAGGUACAGAGUAUCGUAAACCUCUUUUGUCAGGGAACAAAGGCGGGGACGCGUCCCCGGAUGAGUGUACCUGAAGAAAAAGCAUCGGCUAACUCCGUGCCAGCAGCCGCGGUAAUACGGAGGAUGCGAGCGUUAUCCGGAUUUAUUGGGGUUAACGGGUGCGCAGGCGGUCUGUUAAGUCAGCGGUCAAACCCCGGGGCUCAACCCCGGCCCGCCGUUGAAACUGGCAGUCUCGAGUUGGAGAGAAGUAUGCGGAAUGCGCGGUGUAGCGGUGAAAUGCAUAGAUAUCGCGCAGAACUCCGAUUGCGAAGGCAGCAUGCCGGCUCCACACUGACGCUGAGGCACGAAAGCGUGGGUAUCGAACAGGAUUAGAUACCCUUGUAGUC